rnacentral:lncRNA from 1 species
AUGGCGACAAAUCAUAGCUCCGAUGACGAAAGCACGCGCCUUUACCAUCCUUACCAGAGCUACGAGCUCCCCAUCAAAGCCCAGCACCUUUACAAGCUCCCCACUUCCCCCGAGUACCUCUUCACGGAAGAGUCCCUCAAAAAGCGUCGAUCUUGGGGAGAGAAUCUCACUUUCUACGCAGGGACCGCUUACCUCGGCGGCUCCGUAGCAGGCGCUGCGGCUGGAGUUAUCUCCGGUGUCAAGAGCUUCGAGUACGGAGACACGACUAAGCUGAAGAUCAACAGGAUUCUGAACUCGUCUGGUCAUAAGGGUCGCUCGUUGGGUUGCAGGAUCGGGGCUGUUGGGCUGAUCUACGCGGGGAUUGAGAGUGGCGUUGUGGCGUAUACGGAUAGGGAUGAUGUGUGGACUAGCGUGGUGGCGGGUUUGGGAACUGGGGCGGUGUUUAGGGCGGCGCGAGGGGUGAGGUCUGCGGCUGUGGCUGGUGCUCUUGGAGGAAUGGUGGCUGGUGGGGUUGUGGCGGGGAAGCAAGUUUUGAAGCGGUAUGCUCACAUUUGAAGAAGAAGGAGUGGUCUUUAGGAGCAGACAGGCGUUUGGGGAUCAUAAAGAUCGUAGCUUUGUCGGUUUCUAGAGUAGUAUUCUGGAUUUCAUGUAGCAUACCUAAAUGGCCUGUGAACCUUUUUAGUUAUAUUUAAUGAUAAGUUUUACCGUUUGGUAUCUUCUAAUAUACAUGACUUCUUGCGUAUGAUCUCAUACUCGUUUGGCGUUAGUUUCAUCUUUUAACACUCUAUAGUGUUCAUGUGUUAUUCACCAAUGUUGGAGGGCUUAUUUGUGUUUAUAGUUGGCAAUUUAAUAAUCUCUACUAGCAUUUCUGAGUUUUUUUAAAAGCUCUUCUUGGCUUUUCUAGCUGGGACUUCUUUGUUGAACGUGUAUGUAUCACACAAGAGACAUUAUCCGAAUCCUAGUUGUACUCGCCGGACAUUCUCUUCAAGCUUUUCCAGGUAACGACUUUCACAACAUGUGUUCUUUGAUAUAAUGUGGAUCUGUUGUGAACUUGUGCUUUGUUUCCCAAUAUUAAAAGUAUUUUGCUUUUUUGCGUAUUGUAACUGUCUCGAGUUCACAAAGUCCCUUUAUCAGCUAAUAUUAAUGGUGUAGCUCCAUAAGCCUUUGUUCAUUCUCUAUGUUCUGGUUUUGAGUAGAUUUUUAUGAAAGUGUUUCUUUUCAUGAGACCAAAAAAAAUAAAAUGUUUCAUAUACAAGAUGGGAACUCCGACACUAUGGGAGAUGAACAAUGAACUUUUGGGUUGAGCACAAAUUAUUUAAAGACCAACAAAAUCUUCCUUCUCGUUUGUCUUGUUUCCAUUCUUCUUGUAGGUAUGGGAUCAAGAGGAAUUUCUCAAUGCAUCCACUGUUUACAUAGCAAAUAAAAUGAUUAAAAUAAAGACUCAUGAAUCAAAGUAAUUACAGGUUCUAAGAAACCAACCUGAGAGGAAGAAGAUAUUGGGGAACGGGGAACCGAGUUGUGAGCACGCGGCACAGAGAAUAUUCUAUCGGAGUCAUCUACGUCAUGAACCGAAUUGUGAGCACGUGGCACAGAGAAUAUUCUGUCGUCGUCAUGAUCCUCUGUUGCAAUCUCCCUUAGCUUGCUCAGUGCAGGCAACAGAACGGUAGCAAGAUCAGGUCUGUCCCUUUUCCGCAGCUCACAGCACUGCAAAGCCAAUUGAGCUAGCACCUGAGUCUCUUCUUCAGGCCAGUCUGAUACUUUGGGAUCCAAAACUUCUAUGAGUCUCUUUCUCUCAAGUGCUUUCUCCACUCUAUGGCUUAAUCCCAUCGCUGGCAUAGCUGUGAGGAUUUGCAGAAGCACCACACCGAACGAGUACAAGUCAGACUUCACUCCAAGCAUUCCCGUUUGCUGGUACUCGGGGUCAAUGUAACAAAACGUACCUGUUUCAGCCAAGUUGUCCAUUGUUAGAAGAUGGAAAGAUUGGUUUUAAAUGGUAAACUGAAAGUUAUUUACCGGCUGCAGCUGUCAUGUGGUAAUUGGUGAAGCUAUCAGCAACAGCGGGAGGCACCAACCGAGCCAAGCCAACGUCACUGAUUUUGCUAUUCAAAUGUCUGUCUAGCAGUAUGUUUGCUGGCUUCAGAUCUCUGUGCACUAGUGGCUCAGGUUUGGCCUGGUGAAGGAAAAGAAGCCCUGUGGCAAUCUCAGCAGCGAUUCGAAACCGUUCUCUCCAAGACAGUGGUGGAGUGUUGUCUUUGCAGAAGAGACGAUCUUCUAGCGUUCCGUUUUCCAUAUACUCGUACACGAGGCAACCAUACUCGGGGCAAGCACCGAGGAGGAUCACCAUGUUAGGGUGCCUCAUGCAACUCAGAACCUCAACCUCUUGUUGGAACUGCUUCAGGCCUUGUGAGACGUCUGACUUCAAGAUUUUGAUAGCAACGGAAGUGUUUUCGAGAACGGCUUUAUACACAGGUCCAUACCCUCCUUCCCCAAUCUUUUGAGCAAAAAUAUUCAAGUUUUCAUCUUUCAUCCAAGAACUAAUACUUAUCAACAAAAGUCCAUGACUAUUGAUGCAUAAACAGUCGAUUUCCCUAAAGUAGUUUUCUCCCGGAGAGAAAGUUUCAAACUUUUGCAACUCGGAUUACAAAAUCAAAACCAAAGUAACGUCACCAUGUUUGCACAAUCAGUAAUUGAGAAGGAGAAGAAGAAGAAAGUAAAUAAAAUAAAAAGACCUUGAGGUCGAUGUUGGAGCGGAGAGAGAGGACAGCAGCGAACUCAGGAUCGCGGAGGAUAUUCUUCCACUUUCCGGGUCCAUGCUUCCUCACGCCGCCGAGCAACGCAUCCUCCUCAUCCUCCGUCCAUUUGCUCUUCUCUUUUCCCAUCUCUCCUCCUCUUCCCUCCCUCACCAGCUUCUCGCUUUGUUUUAUCCACAAACACUCAAAUCGAUUUCGUUAUCGGAAACAGAGCCUCGGCGACUCUUCCCCCCGCCGUCCUUGCUCCCUAAAGCUACUGCCUUUUUUUUUAAUUUCCAAAUCCAAAAUUAAAAAAAAAAGUCUUGUUUUUAUAUCUCUGUGUCUCAAUCUACGAAGUGGGUUAAUAUGGUAAGUUUCCCAAAUUAAGAUGCGCAUCGUAUAAAGUUUUUAAAACUAAGGGGUCGGAUAUGGAAAUAAUUAAAAACGGAAAGAUUUUAGGGGGUGUAAAUGUUAUUAAAUAAAACAUCAGGGGUCAAACUCUAAUUAGCUAAAACUUCUUAAACCCCUUUUAAACUCCCAAGCUUUCUCUUCACUCCAUCGUCGUCUCCUCCACUAAACAAUGGCGACAAAUCAUAGCUCCGAUGACGAAAGCACGCGCCUUUACCAUCCUUACCAGAGCUACGAGCUCCCCAUCAAAGCCCAGCACCUUUACAAGCUCCCCACUUCCCCCGAGUACCUCUUCACGGAAGAGUCCCUCAAAAAGCGUCGAUCUUGGGGAGAGAAUCUCACUUUCUACGCAGGGACCGCUUACCUCGGCGGCUCCGUAGCAGGCGCUGCG